AUGGAUGAGAAGCAGGGGGCAAACUUUAAAAGCCUCAUCUGGACUCUGCUCUGCUGCUGCUUCACAGAGUCCAGAGGUCAGGUCACAGUGACUCAGCCUGCAGCAGUGACAGCUGAUCUGGGAGGAUCUGCCAAGAUCACCUGUAGGACCAGUCAGGAUGUUUAUAGCUCUGACCGUUUAGCCUGGUAUCAACAGAAAGAUGGACAAACUCCUAAGCUGCUCAUUUCAUAUACCAGCUCUCGAGCAUCAGGGACUCCAAGUCGUUUUACAGGCAGUGGAUCAAACUCUGACUUCACUCUGACCAUCAGUGGAGUUCAGGCUGAAGAUGCUGCAGUUUACUACUGUCAGAGUUUUCAUGUCAUCAGCAACCAGUGGGUGUUCACACAGUGAAAACCAGUCGUACAAAAACCUCCCUCAGUCAGGCUGAACAGAAACUGCAGCUGAAUGUCACAGCAGACUCUGACACAGCUCACUAAACACAAACACAGAGUAACAAUCAUUUUAUGGAGAUAGUUUUUACUCACUAAUACAUUCACACGAAUAGUUCACAUUAAAAUUUACUGCUGGUUUCACAAAAAUAUUUGGAAUUUAAGCUUUUGAAGUUAAUAUGUUUGGAUAUUUUCAAACACUUGGAAGAACUGCCUUUCUUGUGGAAAAUAUAAUUUGACCUGAGAUUGAAAUUUAAAGUCAACAAAUGGGUCAACAUGGAAGAAAACAUUCUUAACAACUUGAUGAAGAUUUAUCUCUCUUUGCUGAACACAUAUCCUCAGGUUCUGAGUGGAGUUUCUUUAAAUCUGUUUAACUUUCUGCUUUUCAUUAUUAUCAGUUACUGGAUUUCUAAAGCGUAUUUAAUGUUUUACUGGGGCAUUUAGUCUAACGGUUAUCUGGCUUAUAAGAGCUUCAGUACGACGUUGUUUCACAUGAUAAAUAAAGUUGACUCUGAAUUCUGAUCACCUGUCAUGGUUUA